rnacentral:rRNA from 1 species
UUAAAUUGAAGAGUUUGAUCAUGGCUCAGAUUGAACGCUGGCGGCAGGCCUAACACAUGCAAGUCGAACGGUAACAGGAAGCAGCUUGCUGCUUCGCUGACGAGUGGCGGACGGGUGAGUAAUGUCUGGGAAACUGCCUGAUGGAGGGGGAUAACUACUGGAAACGGUGGCUAAUACCGCAUAACGUCGCAAGACCAAAGAGGGGGACCUUCGGGCCUCUUGCCAUCAGAUGUGCCCAGAUGGGAUUAGCUGGUUGGUGAGGUAACGGCUCACCAAGGCGACGAUCCCUAGCUGGUCUGAGAGGAUGACCAGCCACACUGGAACUGAGACACGGUCCAGACUCCUACGGGAGGCAGCAGUGGGGAAUAUUGCACAAUGGGCGCAAGCCUGAUGCAGCCAUGCCGCGUGUAUGAAGAAGGCCUUCGGGUUGUAAAGUACUUUCAGCGGGGAGGAAGGUGUUGAGGUUAAUAACCGCAUCAAUUGACGUUACCCGCAGAAGAAGCACCGGCUAACUCCGUGCCAGCAGCCGCGGUAAUACGGAGGGUGCAAGCGUUAAUCGG